rnacentral:rRNA from 1 species
GAUGAACGCUGGCGGCGUGCCUAAUACAUGCAAGUCGAGCGAACGGACGAGAAGCUUGCUUCUCUGAUGUUAGCGGCGGACGGGUGAGUAACACGUGGAUAACCUACCUAUAAGACUGGGAUAACUUCUGGAAACCGGAGCUAAUACCGGAUAAUAUUUUGAACCGCAUGGUUCAAAAGUGAAAGACGGUCUUUCUGUCACUUAUAGAUGGAUCCGCGCUGCAUUAGCUAGUUGGUAAGGUAACGGCUUACCAAGGCAACGAUGCAUAGCCGACCUGAGAGGGUGAUCGGCCACACUGGAACUGAGACACGGUCCAGACUCCUACGGGAGGCAGAAGUAGGGAAUCUUCAGCAAUGGGCGAAAGUCUGACGGAGCAACGCCGCGUGAGUGAUGAAGGUCUUCGGAUCGUAAAACUCUGUUAUUAGGGAAGAACAUAUGUGUAAGUAACUGUGCACAUCUUGACGGUACCUAAUCAGAAAGCCACGGCUAACUACGUG